AGCAGUCGCCGCGGGAAUACGAAGGGUGCAAGCGUUAAUCGGAAUUACUGGGCGUAAAGCGUGCGUAGGCGGUGAGUUAAGUCUGCUGUGAAAUCCCCGGGCUCAACCUGGGAAUGGCAGUGGAUACUGGCUCGCUAGAGUGUGUCAGAGGAUGGUGGAAUUCCCGGUGUAGAGGUGAAAUUCGUAGAGAUCGGGAGGAACAUCAGUGGCGAAGGCGGCCAUCUGGGACAACACUGACGCUGAGGCACGAAAGCGUGGGGAGCAAACAGGAUUAGAUACCCCUGUAGUCCCUGUCUCUUAUAC
rnacentral:rRNA from 1 species